GUGGGGAAUAUUGGACAAUGGGCGAAAGCCUGAUCCAGCCAUGCCGCGUGUGUGAAGAAGGUCUUCGGAUUGUAAAGCACUUUAAGUUGGGAGGAAGGGCAGUAAGUUAAUACCUUGCUGUUUUGACGUUACCGACAGAAUAAGCACCGGCUAACUUCGUGCCAGCAGCCGCGGUAAUACGAAGGGUGCAAGCGUUAAUCGGAAUUACUGGGCGUAAAGCGAGCGUAGGUGGUUUUGUAAGGUGGAGGUGAAAUCCCCGGGCUCAAGCUGGGAACUGCCUCCAAAACUGCAUGACUAGAGUACGGUAGAGGGUAGUGGAAUUUCCUGUGUAGCGGUGAAAUGCGUAGAUAUAGGAAGGAACACCAGUGGCGAAGGCGACUACCUGGACUGAUACUGACACUGAGGUGCGAAAGCGUGGGGAGCAAACAGGAUUAGAAACCCGGGUAGUCC
rnacentral:rRNA from 1 species